CCCCGAUUUCGUGCGAGAACCGAGAGGAGCGUGUCGUCGUCGUCGUCGUUUGGGCGGCGCCUGGCCACCCACAAGGCCAGCAUGUGACCCCGCCUCGGUUCAGCCGCCUGCCGCUGGGAGCCGAGAGGUGGCCGCCCUGCUGGAACCUUAACGGAGAGAAGACAUGCCCACCAUCACACCUUGAUCUCCAUCACACCUUGAUCUCCGGGACUGCGUGUAAUUACUCUGCCUUGCCUUCUCUGGAAACUACCUCCCAAAAAGGAGGAGUGAAACUAGUUCAAAAUUAGACAUACUACUACUAGAGACAUGAAGUCAGAAAACCUUAUCAUCAAGACCAUAAAGACACUUUGAAUCCACAAAUCACAGAGAAGAAAGAAUAUGCUACCAAACUACCACCUCAAAGAGCUUCUUGGUUUCCCUCAGAAACUGGAUCUUUUGCAUAUAUUUCUUUGUUGCCAACUAAGCCAUAGAUACAUUCAUUUAUUGCUUAUUGCCUAUCAAUCUGAUAUCUAAAGGAUGAGAGGCUUCAUCCAGGAAUAUUUUUUCCUCUCAGUGUAAAGUUUUGUAACGUGUAACCUAAACCUUGGAGUGUGACCUCCAGAAAAUCCCUGAAAAUUAAAGAUUUCAAUAUCACAUAACAGAACAAUUAUUAAAGCUAAUUUUGUUUUGUCAUCUUAAAAUGUAUAAUUCUAAGUAAUUUAAAUUUCUGUUUAGUCUUGCUUUUCCUUUAUGAAAUAAAGAGUGUAAAACAGUAUUUUUUGCUACUAGAGAUUUCUUUAUGUGUAACCUGAUUCUGAUUUCAGAAGCAGAAAUCAGUCAUUGUUUUUAAGGUGACCAACCGUCCUCCUUUUGGGAGGACAGUCCUCCUUUUUUGAGUUCUGUCCUCCCUCAAAAAGUGUCCUCCUAAAUGUCCUUCUUUUCCAUAUACUGUCCUCCUUUUGGGAGGACAGUCUUCCUUUGGGGAGUUCUGUCCUCACUUGAAAAUGUCCUCCUAAAUGUCCUCUUUUUCUAUAUUUGAAGACUUAACUGCAGGGCUUUUUUUUCCUCAUAGAACGCCCAGAAGGCGU